rnacentral:lncRNA from 11 species
CAAAAAUGCAAAGUUGUUCCAAAGCCCCCCAGACCUGCCAUUCCCAGACCUACCAUUCUUUUGAAAAAACAAACAAACAAGUCAGAUCUCACCUGGAAAACUGCAUCCUGCUUUGGGUACCACAUUCCAAGAAGGAAAUUGAC